CUGUUGCCUGCCCAGUGCCAACACUCCCAAAUGACCAGAUGGCUUUAAAAUUAGAGACCUAGAUCAGCUGUGAAAAUGGGGCAACUCACAACUGCCUGGCAGCAGCUCUGACGAACUUCUAGACGAGAUAGAGCAGGAGCUGCUUGGUCAUGGUGUCUCUUCACGGUAACAGAAUGCUGAGGAGGACGGAGCAUCACGUGAGGAAGUGCAGACCCCAGAAUGUAUUCAUCCUCACAGAGGCAGCCUCGGGAAGCACUGGUCCAGAGCAGGGCCCUCCUGCUCCCCAAAGGAUGUCUGUGGGGUUUGCGCAUCCUUUGAGAAGACUAACCUGUAAGUCUAAGCCUCUGCCUUCCCACAGCCAUCGGGAUGAUAGAGCAGGAAGAUGUCUCAAAGAGCAGGAGGGAAAACCGCCAAACACUGGAAUAAAGUUGGUGGAUUCAAAUAAGAGAAACACUCCCUCACGCCUGAGUAAGACUGGUAGAGAAGCAGACACACAGGAAUAAGCAAAGACACUCCUAUUACUCUCUGAGUUACAGGGUGGCUUCAUUAUGACAAAGCUCUUCCGGAAACGGGGUCAAAUUGAGGUCAAGAACUCUACCUACAGAAAAACAUAAUUGUUUAGAUUAAAAACAAGACAGCAUUUAAAAAAAAAAGGCUUGGCCACUUAUGGUGGCCCAUGUAUUUAAUUCCAGUGCUUAAGAGACAGAGGCAGAGAAUCUCUGUGUUCAAGGCAAGUCAGAGUUAUACAGUAAGGCCUGGUUUCAAACAAAUAAACGGCCGGAGAGACAGGUCAAUGGUUAAGAGCACUUUUGUAAUAACAUAUUCUAAUAGGAAUCAAUACAAUACAAAAACAGGCCACAGACCACAGAGGAUCAACCAAUGAAACCAUAAGUGAUGAAGGGUUUAUAAACUUAAAUGAGACAUUAAAUGGCCGUGGGGACUGGAGAGACAACUCCGCAGUUAUGAGCACUGAGUGCACUUGCAAAGGACCAGGGUUUGAUCUCCAGCACCCACACAGCAGCCCACAUUCGCCUGUAACUCCAGCUCUAGAGAAUCCAAAACCCUCUUCUGGACUCUGAGGGCACCAGGCAUGAACAUGGCGCACAGACAUACAUUGCGAGCAAAACACUCAUAUACAUAAAAUAAUGUUUUAAUAUUUUAGUGGUAAGUAAAAUUGAAGAGAUGGGGAGUUUCUAAAGGCAAGACAUCAAAGAAAAGUACGUGUUCUGCACCAGGAAAACCGCACGAUUAAAGCAGAGCUACAGCAUUGAGCCUUAGCAGCCAACAGAGGCAGGAGGCUCUGAAGGAGGGGAACUCAGGCAUACACGUCUGACAAGAAGGCAUGUCACGGAGGAGCCUGCCAGAGCCACGGUCCUGGCGCCAACACCUACAACUACAGCCAUACCCACUGGACGCUUCAGGUACUUCUAUCUGCUCAGCCUUGGGCUGAUGUCACAUCUAUUACCGACCCUUGUUACCAGGAAGAGUUGUUUCAAACAGUGUCUUGACUCCCUUGCCUCCUUGAGUGUUCAGUGUACUGCAGUAUGUGUUUUUACACUACACCGCCUAUUGCCAGACGAACUCAUUCUCUCUGCAGAGCCCACACUGCCUGUUGCUCAGACACCAGUGCUGAUGUAAAACCAAAGACAGAUUAAUGCGUCUCUCAACCUCCAACUACAGCGCAGACUUAAAAGGAGCGAUUAUACCCAGGGAUGCCAGGGAAAUAGGAACAGGGGGGACAUAAUAGAAGUAAUCUUUGGGGGGGAAAUUUGGAAAUAAACAGGCUACCAGACACACAACAGCAAACAACACAGCUCUACUGGCUUUUUGCAGUAUUUUUCUCUCAAGAGAACAGACUCCAGGAAAUAUCAAAUCCAAGAUUGUUCUGUGAGAGGAGACGCCAAAACAAGAUUCCUUUAAAGGCAACCAAAAUCACACAAACCAGAGCUAAUUUCAAUAUUUAAAAAAGAAAUCGGGCCUUGGUCUCUCCCGGUGCUGGGACAGCCAUCACCAGGGCCUGUGUGUUCUCUGAGAACCAGGUCUAGAGAGAAACACUGCAAUACUUCCUCUGCCGACCUGAAAUCUCAGUUCUUGAGAGUUUCUUCCACUUUAAAGUAACUCAAGCCAAACAUGAGGGGAAAACUGUCUUAAAUAGCAAGAGGGGUGUGGAAGUAGCUUCCACAGCAUGUCACCUCAACGAAGAGAAACUGACAAAGGACUGAGAUCCGGAGCCACCUGACCUCUGGCCCCAGCUCCCAAAGUCACCUGCUGCGUGUGAUCAACAAUUCCUAAGGUUAACGCCAUCUCAGCCUCGGUGAGAGACACCAGCAGAGAGAAGGCCUGAACUCAGCCACCACCAUUGUACAAGACAAGCCAUUAAUGUACCAACUGUGUCGUUUUUAAGAAGUGAGAGUUUGGAGAGAUGAAACCUACAGUCACCAGGCACAGGUCUCCAUCCUCUUGGAGUUUGUCCCUGCUUAUCAAGUGCAGAGACAUGAAUUUAUAUCAACAGACUUCAAUUGAACAAAAAGAUAAAAUAGCUUUAGAGUAAAAAGGAUUAAAGGGAUUUUCAAAAAGAUCAAAAGGAAAUGCUGACAAAGAUGUGGAGAAAGAGGCUCUUGUGGGUCUUCCAUAGGAAUGCAAUAAUUCAGCCACUGUGGAGAACACUGGAGGUUCCGCCAUGGCGCCAUCCAGCAGCCCACUGCAGGUACGUAUGCAAAGGAAACUAAAUCAGCAGGCCAAGGAGCCAACUCCUAGAUGUACUGAACUCUGUUCCCAGGAGCCAGGACAGGGAUCAGCUUCCGUGUCCCGUCAGAGAACAAUGGAGAAAGAAGAUGUGGUACAGACACCCCGUGUAAGACUCCGCCACCCUAAGAGGCAAGACUUGCUGUGCUCUGUGACGGCACGCAUGGAUCUCAAUGACAUUGUGCUAAGAGAAAGAAGCCAUGCACAGAAGACAAAGUCAUUUGUAAGAUGAAUCUGAAAUCAUUUAUCUCACGCUGUGAGAAGAGUGGUUACCAGACACUUGGCAGAGGGGGCUGGGCAGAAGUGGAUCAAUGGAUGCCAACUUGUGUUUAAUAGGAAGAAGAUGGCUUGGUGCUCUGUGGCCCACAGGGUGAAUGUAGUUAGCACCAGUGCUUUAUCUCCAACACUCAGAAGGCAGGAAUUUGAGUGAGCUCACCUUGAAGAAAUGACAGGCAAGUAGGAGGAUAGAGGCAUGCUUUAUCCGAGCUGAUCCCUACCCAGGGGGUGCGUAAAUCAAAGAAAGCACCAAAGAACCUCCAAAGGAGAAAUAUGUGCAUUAAAAUUCAAAACUUAU